GGUCUCAAACUCCUCUAUCGUUUUCUCUCUAACUUACACAGGCGCACACACAAGCUGUCUUUUCCACAAAUAUUUUCUGGGUUCCAUAAGAAAACAUGUCUUGGGGCGGUGAUGCUGAAAAACUACCUAUUUUCUGAGGGAAAUUAUUUUCCCUUAUGAUUAGGAAUAACCAAUGGAUCCUUCUGAGCCCUCACUCAUCCUUUUCGUCUGUUUUCUUCUAUAUUUUUGUGUGUUUUGUGUUCAAAUCUCUUGCUUUCUUUGUUUUAAUUAUGUGUUAGAUUCGAUCCGGAGCCAUUGAGGUGAUGAUACUCUAUUCGGAAAAUACAAAGAUGUCCGCUAUAGAAAAUAUCAGACUACAAUUAUCUGAUCAAUGGCUCUUUUACGAUGAUGUUUUAUUCAGUCUGUGUUUCUAUUUGUUUCUGAAUCACACAAAACUCUUUCAAAUGGCCCUUCUUUUUUUCAAUCUGUAUUUUCAUCAAGUUCAGAGGUUUUUUCAAAAUUGCAUGAUUUAUUGAAUUUGAUUCGUUAAAAACAGCUUGCAAUGCAGAGUUUGUCUCUUUGAAAUAUAUGGAGGGUAAUGGAAAAACAGAGGCAAGAACUGUGCCCUUUUUUUCUCCAUCUGAGUGCAUACCUGAGAACCAGAAGAUAAUUAAUUCUAUGGCAGAAGAACCAUCAAAAUCCUUAACUACUGAAGAUUCAAAGCCUUUAUUAGGGGAGAUUUGUGAAGUUGCAGGCAAUCUACAAGAAUAGGAGACAAAUAAGAAAGAGACAGCAUUAGAGUGAAAGAGAGAUGUAUAGUGAAAAAAGCAUUAAGCUAGUCUGUGUUGAGGGAGCAUUGAGUUUGUAAAGUGCUCGAAAAUGUGAAUACUUCCUCGGACAUAUCUGUCAAAUAUAAGCAGGGUUUUCAUAUUUUCACAUAUUUCUAAGGUUGCUAUAUGUAUUUUUUUUUUUUUUUUUAAAAUUCGGGGAGAGGGUAGAGGGUCGAACCCAAGACCUCUCUUUGGGAAGUUUAGGUGUAAGGCCAUAUGCCUUUGACAAGGUUGCUUUAUGUAUGAUAUUUAUCGAUCAAAAUAUAUUAGUGUACAUUAAUACAAAAUCACUUCUUU